rnacentral:tRNA from 1 species
GCCGGAGCAAACUGUAGGGCCGCCCCUGAUCACUUUUGUAAUCAGGGUCAGGGGUUCGAACCCUCUAGCCGGCACCA